rnacentral:rRNA from 1 species
CACCGGCUAACUACGUGCCAGCAGCCGCGGUGAUACGUAGGGUGCGAGCGUUGUCCGGAUUUAUUGGGCGUAAAGAGCUUGUAGGCGGUUAGUCGCGUCGUAAGUGCAAACUCAGGGCUUAACCCUGAGCCUGCUUUCGAUACGGGCUGACUAGAGGAAGGUAGGGGAGAAUGGGAAAUUCCCGGUGGAGCGGUGGAAUGCGCAGAUAUCGGGAGGAACACCAGUGGCGAAGGCGGUUCUCUGGACCUUUCCUGACGCUGAGAAGCGAAAGCGUGGGGAGCAAACAGGCUUAGAUACCCUGGUAGUCCACGCCGUAAACGGUGGGUACUAGGUGUGGGGACAUUCCACGUUCUCUGUGCCGUAGCUAACGCAUUAAGUACCCCGCCUGGGGAGUACUGCCGCAAGGCUAAAACUCAAAGGAAUUGACGGGGCCCCGCACAAGCGGCGGAGCAUGCGGAUUAAUUCGAUGCAACGCGAAGAACCUUACCUGGGUUUGACAUAUACCGGAAACGUCAAGAGAUAGGCGCCCCGCAAGGUCGGUAUACAGGUG